GGGCAGCUUACACAUGCAGUCGAGCGGUAACAGGGGGUGCUUGCACCCCGCUGACGAGCGGCGGACGGGUGAGUAAUGCAUAGGAAUCUGCCCAGUAGUGGGGGAUAGCCCGGGGAAACCCGGAUUAAUACCGCAUACGCCCUUUGGGGGAAAGCAGGGGAUCUUCGGACCUUGCGCUAUUGGAUGAGCCUAUGUCGGAUUAGCUAGUUGGUGGGGUAAAGGCCUACCAAGGCGACGAUCCGUAGCUGGUCUGAGAGGAUGAUCAGCCACAUCGGGACUGAGACACGGCCCGAACUCCUACGGGAGGCAGCAGUGGGGAAUAUUGGACAAUGGGGGCAACCCUGAUCCAGCCAUGCCGCGUGUGUGAAGAAGGCUUUCGGGUUGUAAAGCACUUUCAGUGAGGAGGAAAACCUUCUGGUUAAUACCCAUGAGGCUUGACGUUACUCACAGAAGAAGCACCGGCUAACUCCGUGCCAGCAGCCGCGGUAAUACGGAGGGUGCAAGCGUUAAUCGGAAUUACUGGGCGUAAAGCGCGCGUAGGUGGUUUGAUAAGCGAGAUGUGAAAGCCCCGGGCUUAACCUGGGAACGGCAUUUCGAACUGUCAGGCUAG
rnacentral:rRNA from 1 species